ACACAGUGUUAAGAGCAGAGAGCUUCAGUA
rnacentral:piRNA from 1 species